AGGUGUGUCGACUCCGAGGUGAUGAUCAGCCAAAGCUUUAAGGACCAUGCGAUGUUCAUCCUUCAAAUCAUGCACCUGUUUUCGAUUGAAACACAAUUUUCUUGUCGGUGAAAUUAUCUUUUCGGAGCUUGAUGAGCCACGAGGCGAAAUCGUUGCAGGCGGCCACCUCGUUCUUGGACUUGAGCAUUAUGUUGUUGCGGAUCUCCUUGAGCAUGCGGUAACGACCCGUGUCAACGAUGCGAAGAUUGUAGUUGCGAAUUACA